ACUCCUACGGGAGGCAGCAGUGGGGAAUUUUGGACAAUGGGCGAAAGCCUGAUCCAGCAAUGCCGCGUGCAGGAUGAAGGCCUUCGGGUUGUAAACUGCUUUUGUACGGAACGAAAAAGCUCCUUCUAAUACAGGGGGCCCAUGACGGUACCGUAAGAAUAAGCACCGGCUAACUACGUGCCAGCAGCCGCGGUAAUACGUAGGGUGCGAGCGUUAAUCGGAAUUACUGGGCGUAAAGCGUGCGCAGGCGGUUAUGUAAGACAGAUGUGAAAUCCCCGGGCUCAACCUGGGAACUGCAUUUGUGACUGCGUGGCUAGAGUACGGUAGAGGGGGAUGGAAUUCCGCGUGUAGCAGUGAAAUGCGUAGAUAUGCGGAGGAACACCGAUGGCGAAGGCAAUCCCCUGGACCUGUACUGACGCUCAUGCACGAAAGCGUGGGGAGCAAACAGGAUUAGAUACCCUAGUAGUCCCAUGAU
rnacentral:rRNA from 1 species